rnacentral:rRNA from 1 species
AUUGAACGCUGGCGGCAUGCCUUACACAUGCAAGUCGAACGGCAGCACGGGUGCUUGCACCUGGUGGCGAGUGGCGAACGGGUGAGUAAUACAUCGGAACAUGUCCUGUAGUGGGGGAUAGCCCGGCGAAAGCCGGAUUAAUACCGCAUACGAUCCACGGAUGAAAGCGGGGGACCUUCGGGCCUCGCGCUAUAGGGUUGGCCGAUGGCUGAUUAGCUAGUUGGUGGGGUAAAGGCCUACCAAGGCGACGAUCAGUAGCUGGUCUGAGAGGACGACCAGCCACACUGGGACUGAGACACGGCCCAGACUCCUACGGGAGGCAGCAGUAGGGAAUUUUGGACAAUGGGCGAAAGCCUGACGCAGCAACGCCGCGUGAGUGAUGAAGGUCUUCGGGUUGUAAAGCACUUUUGUCCGGGAAGAAAUCCUUGGCUAUAAUACAGUCGGGGGAUGACGGUACCGGAAGAGAAAGCACCGGCUAACUACGUG